rnacentral:rRNA from 1 species
UACGUAGGGGGCUAGCGUUGUCCGGAUUUAUUGGGCGUAAAGAGCGUGUAGGCGGCCAGGUAGGUCUGCUGUGAAAACUCGAGGCUCAACCUCGAGACGUCGGCGGAAACCAUGUGGCUAGAGUCCGGAAGAGGAGAGUGGAAUUCCUGGUGUAGCGGUGAAAUGCGCAGAUAUCAGGAAGAACACCCGUGGCGAAGGCGGCUCUCUGGGACGGUACUGACGCUGAGACGCGAAAGCGUGGGGAGCGAACAGG